GCCCCGCCGACCGCAUGUCAGCGCAGCGCUCAGGGCACCGGCCUUUCAGUCCCGCGGCCCGCCGGGGCGCGGGCGGCCCGCGGGCUCUCGGCGGCGGCCAGCGGACGGCCCGGAGCGGAGGGCAGCCAGCCACGAGAUGACCCCAACGUGAUCUUGCAUAAGUCAUCACGGAGAACACCCCAUGAAGUCUCCUUACACCAAAGGUGCAUUCGAUCAUUGAAGACGUCUCGCGGUAUGAGACAGCGAAGCUAUAUCAGGAUUCAUAAUUGGGGGGGGGGGCAGAGGGCGAUGAGAACAUGGAAAAGUGAGUACAGGUACCAGGGGGUCAACUCACGAAGCACACUGCUAAUGACUGAGUAAGGAGAGAGAAUCACAGAAAUAACUAACCCCCUGAAUGAGCACUAGAGCUCCUUGUAGCCAUGGCCCAGCAGGUUCAGCCUGGACAUUUUCCCCUCCCGCAGUAAUCUUGAAGUGCCUAAGCAAAUGCUUGCGUGAGGAGGCCAGGAGAGAAGGGUCCCACCAUCGAGGGAUAGAGGGAUGAUGGAGUCACCCAUGUAGUGCAUGUGUGCGGAGCAUCGUACAAGCUUUGCCCGGUGAAAAUGAUUAAAAACGCCUUUAUGGAAUCAUUCACUCCCCUAGGCUUGAAUGCAACAGGCCGUCCACAGUGCCCUGCUUACCUGCAAACAGCUUUUUUGGGGUGGAGCGGUGGCAGAGGCUACUGGUUCGACAAGUGGCUCAACCUGCCACACCACAUCCAACUAGGACAUCUGGUUACAAAGCUUACCACAGCAGAAACCCUAAAGCUAUCCUGGCAAACGGGCUAGCAGGAAAUUGAGAGGAAUUUCCUCCUUUCCAUACUGGAGAUACAGUGAAUACUCUAGAGCUUAUAUCAAAGGUUACCAAAACAUAGGGUCUGAAAAUUCUGGAGCCUGGUUAUUAGCUUUCCCCUCCUGUGUAAGAUCUGGAUCCUGUCCUGGGUAAAUCAAGCUUAGGAUAAGGUUACAAAAGCUGCCAGUGUGCAACCAAGCAAGACAUAAUGGGGGUCUCAGACAUUUAUUUAGCAGAGCAGGGCCAGAGAGAUAGUGCAGCGGCUAAGGCACUUAACCCUGCACACAGCCAACCUGGGUUCAAUCCACAGCACCCCAUAGGCUAAGUGUGCGGGCUGACUGCAUGUCCAACACGCAGCCCCCAACUCAGCUGUGCAUCUCUUACUUACCCUUUGUCCUACCAUGAAGCUAAUACACUGAGUACCAUUAAAACUUACUCUCAUAGGAAUUGGAAUGUUGACCCUUUUGAUAUAUUGCAGCACCAAGAUGCUGUUGAGGAUUUGGAGCUGGUGUCACUACCCCUCAACCCGACAGGACCACUCCAGGUACCAGCACCUGUUAAUGAAAAAUGUGCCAGAUGCGGCAAGUGCUGCUAAUUCAUUUUUUUAAAGCAAGGGGUGAGAUGUGGGAGAUGACCCACUAAUAGGGGUCCCAAGAUCUGGGUGGUUGCUGGAAAAACAAGUUUAGACAGCUUGAGAGGUUGUAGCUAUAAACCAAGCAGGAAGGACAUAACCUACUAGGACGUAACAGGGUGUUCUCAGAACAAAGUUCUUCAAUUUGUAUAAUCGAAUUGAAACUCAGAAGGUAGAAUUUUGGUGGAAAGGGGGCAUCCGAGAGCACAUUACAUCUACCACCUACAACUGCCUCCAUUUUUCAUUUGACUAAUAAAGGUACUUAAUGU